rnacentral:lncRNA from 1 species
UGGGUUCAAUUAUGAUCGGACUGAAUUGGCAUUCGACCUAACUCGCACUAUGCCUUGUUUAAUUAGCCAAAACAUCCAAUUCAACUCCAAAUAUCUUCAUUACACUUCCAAUAUUCUAAAUACACCAAAGUACCUCAAUGAGCUUAAUUGUGACUUAAUUCACCGUAACCAAAAUUCAUUUCGAUUUCGAUAUCCGAUACCAUAAAUCAUCAAUUACGAGCUAAUUAACAUAAAAUACAACCAAAUCCAUCAUUAACAUGUCACCUAAUAAAUUCGGCCACAGAGAGUUUGAUGAAGAACAUGUGUUUUCAUGCUUAUUUUUCACACAGAGUAUCACAAAAUAACUAAAAACGCGUAUGUAGCAUGAAAUCUAACAAAACCCGUGAUCAAAACCUCUCCCCCCUAGGUUUGGCCAGCAAUCUUUCCUUCAUGAAAUCUUGAGUUUCAACUAUGAAAAAUGAAAAAGAGAGCAUGGGAAAGGUAGAUCUUAAGCUAAAAUUGAAAAAUCUUACCUUUGAUUCUUUGGUUCCUUGAAAUUCAACAAAUUUCUCUUGGAUUUUCUUCUCUAGGGUUUGUUCUUAUUCUUUUCUCUUUGUUCUUUGCUUUGGC